rnacentral:rRNA from 1 species
UACAGAGGGUGCGAGCGUUGCUCGGAAUUACUGGGCGUAAAGGGCGCGUAGGCGGACAGUUAAGUCAGAGGUGAAAGCCCAGGGCUCAACCCUGGAAUUGCCUUUGAUACUGGCUGUCUUGAGUGCGGGAGAGGUGUGUGGAACUCCGAGUGUAGAGGUGAAAUUCGUAGAUAUUCGGAAGAACACCAGUGGCGAAGGCGACACACUGGCCCGUAACUGACGCUGAGGCGCGAAAGCGUGGGGAGCAAACAGG